CAGUAUUAUUCGGCAUUGUGCUACACCCUUCCUUCAUUGACACUGAAUAGUGACAGCAAACACCAUACUCUGUUUCGUUAUGCACGCCUCAGUGAUCAGUCACAAAUCACCACACCUUACGAACAUCUAACACAUUAACCUAUUUUUUUUCUUGCCAGUCUGUUAAUUUUAGGAUCGAAGGACAAAUCUCAGAGAGCUCUGCAAGAAGAAUUACACCGUUCGAUGCGCUUGGUUAUGAAUUUAAACAACGAGAAAGGGUAUGAUGGCGGAAGGAAAACUUUCCUCACCAUAUUCUGUAUCUGGUGGAUGGUUUAUGGAUGUACGACAGGACUUGGAAAAUCUACAGAAUCAGGUCGAAGGACAUCAUACUAUACCACACCAGUUACUACAGAAACCGGGGCUUCUACAGCAAAAGAUAUGCAAUCAACAAUAAAAAUUCAAGAUUUAACAUCAACACCAAUUUCUGAAAUCACAAAAAAUAAGGAUCCAAAAGACACAAAAACAGCACAAUCAAAAACAAUUUAUACAACUACAACUAUAAUGGAAACAACAACUUUGGAUACCAAAAGCAUGUUUUCAGCAUCCUCAACUAUAGCACCAAAAUUGAUGACUGAUACAGACACCACCUCUCCAUCAUAUUCAACUGUAGUACCAACAUCAACAACAACAACGGAUGAAGCAACAAUAACUCUGUUUGACAGUACAACAACUACAGAUGAAACGAUAGAUUUGGCUUCCACAACCAACCCUCCAACAUCUUCAACCAUAGCACCAACAUCAAUUACAACUGAUGCACAAACCACAACUCUGUCUGACACUAAAACAGCUGCUGAUGAAACAAAAAAUAUGGCUUCCACAACAACUCCUCCAUCAUCCUCAAAUACAGCAGCAACUUCAACAACUGAUGCAGUAACCACAAUAAUUGACACCACUAUAACUAUUGAUAGAAAAACAAAUUUGGCUUCUACAACCACCAUUCCAAUGUCAACAACAGAUGCAUCAACCACAACUAUGCCUGACACCAUAACAACUAUUUAUUCAACAACAAAGCUGGCUUACACAACCCCCCACCCAACAUCCUCAACUAUAGAACCAGCAUCAAUAACUGAUGCAUCAACCACAACGCUGUCUGACGCCACAAUUACUACUGAUGCAACAAGUUUGGCUUCCACAACCACCCCUCCAAAAUCCUCAACUAUAGUGUCAAAAAUGGAGGGAGCAACCACAACUACAGCUGACUCCACAACAACUAUUGAUGCAACUACAACUUUUGCUCCAACAAUCGAUGCAUCAACAGCAACUCUGGCUGACACCACAACAACAACUGAUGC
ensembl:lncRNA